GUGCUCACUUCAUCAAAACAUAUGCUAAAAUCGGAACGCUACAGAGAAGAUUAGCAUGGCUCCCGAGCAAGGAUAACACGCAAAUUCGUGAAGCAUUCCAUAUUUUA
rnacentral:snRNA from 1 species